rnacentral:misc_RNA from 1 species
GAUGAAGAACGUAGCAAAAUGCGAUAAGUAAUGUGAAUUGCAGAAUUCAGUGAAUCAUCGAAUCUUUGAACGCACAUUGCGCCCGCCAGUAUUCUGGCGGGCAUGCCUGUUCGAGCGUCAUUUCAACCCUCAAGCACAGCUUGGUGUUGGGACUCGCGUUAAUUCGCGUUCCCCAAAUUGAUUGGCGGUCACGUCGAGCUUCCAUAGCGUAGUAGUAAAACCCUCGUUGCUGGUAAUCGUCGCGGCCACGCCGUUAAACCCCAACUUCUGAAUGUUGACCUCGGAUCAGGUAGGAAUACCCGCUGAACUUAAGCAUAUCAAUAAGCGGAGGA